rnacentral:tRNA from 1 species
GCCGCUAUCGUCUAACGGUUAGGACAUAGGAUUCUCAAUCCUACAAUUGGAGUUCGAUUCUCCAUAGCGGUA